CCUACGGGAGGCUGCAGUGAGGCAUAUUGGUCAAUGGCCGAGAGGCUGAACCAGCCAAGUCGCGUGAGGGGAGACGGCCCUACGGGUUGUACACCUCUUUUGUCGGGGAGCAAAGCGAACCACGUGUGGUUCAUUGAGAGUACCCGAAGAAAAAGCAUCGGCUAACACCGUGCCAGUAGCCGCGGUAAUACGGAGGAUGCGAGCGUUAUCCGGAUGUAUUGGGUUUAAAGGGUGCGCAGGCGGAGGUGCAAGUCAGCGGUCAAAUGGCGGGGCUCAACCCCGUACUGCCGUUGAAACUGCAUCCCUUGAGUGCGCGAGAAGUAUGCGGAAUGCGUGGUGUAGCGGUGAAAUGCAUAGAUAUCACGCAGAACUCCGAUUGCGAAGGCAGCAUACCGGCGCGCAACUGACGCUCAUGCACGAAAGCGUGGGUAUCGAACAGGAUUAGAUACCCCGGUAGUC
rnacentral:rRNA from 1 species